CGUAGGGUGCGAGCGUUAAUCGGAAUUACUGGGCGUAAAGCGUGCGCAGGCGGUUGUGUAAGUCUGACGUGAAAUCCCCGGGCUUAACCUGGGAAUGGCGUUGGAGACUGCACGGCUAGAGUGUGUCAGAGGGGGGUAGAAUUCCACGUGUAGCAGUGAAAUGCGUAGAGAUGUGGAGGAAUACCGAUGGCGAAGGCAGCCCCCUGGGAUAACACUGACGCUCAUGCACGAAAGCGUGGGGAGCAAACAGGA
rnacentral:rRNA from 1 species